rnacentral:rRNA from 1 species
GACGAACGCUGGCGGCGUGCUUAACACAUGCAAGUCGAACGAUGAAGCCGGAGCUUGCUCUGGUGAAUUAGUGGCGAACGGGUGAGUAACACGUGAGUAACCUGCCCUUGACUCUGGGAUAACUGCGGGAAACUGUAGCUAAUACCGGAUACGACCCUCAGAGGCAUCUCCUGGGGGUGGAAAGAAUUUCGGUCAAGGAUGGACUCGCGGCCUAUCAGCUAGUUGGUGAGGUAAAGGCUCACCAAGGCGACGACGGGUAGCCGGCCUGAGAGGGUGACCGGCCACACUGGGACUGAGACACGGCCCAGACUCCUACGGGAGGCAGCAGUGGGGAAUAUUGCACAAUGGGCGCAAGCCUGAUGCAGCAACGCCGCGUGAGGGAUGACGGCCUUCGGGUUGUAAACCUCUUUUAGCAGGGAAGAAGCGAAAGUGACGGUACCUGCGGAAAAAGCACCGGCUAACUACGUGCCAGCCGCCGCAGUAA